ensembl:lncRNA
UGUAAAGGGUGUUAAAAUGUUUAUUCAAUAAUUAAUUGAAAACUGAUACCUCCCUAUUUUUUUUUAUGUGAACACCAAUAGUUCAGAAUCAGUUAACCGCCACGCCAGCGGAUGGCGCUUGAGCGCUCCUGUGAAGCACACUAUAGAGACUAGUUUUUUCCCGGGUGCGACCUCAGAAGUAAACUGACGCACCAAAGGAACGACACUCAUUUUGUCUGUCUCUUUAUUUAUUCACAGGUAAAAUAAUAUGCACUUUAAACAUUCUUCUGAUUGUUCACAUGACUAUAGGAAGGUUUAGGAACGUAAUUGUGAAGUGUUUUGAUUAACUUUGUCAUGCUCUAAUGUGUUUUAUGAAAAUUGAAUUAACUCAAGGGUCUUAAAUGCAAACGAUUUAUUGUUUAGUAAAUGCAUUCAAAAGUAUUGUUAUACAGCAUUGUGGUGAUGUUGGAGUGCAUUGGCAGUGCAAGGGUGUGUGUUAUUUUUGUGUUUUAAUUGAGUAGUUGAGUAUAUCUGUUGCAUUAACAAUUCAAUCGCCAUUUUUGAGUGCUUUGCGCACAAGCUUAAUGAAUGACACGAGUCAAUCUGGGAGAAGUGGUGUAUGUAAAAUGGUGUUGGAUUUUAGUUUACACAUUCUGUGUGUUUAAGUGACACAUUUGUCAUCUUUCUAGUAAUAAGUGACAUUUAUGUGAAUCUUUAUUGAUUUAUUUUGUACACACUCUUCUUUCCACAUAAUAUGUAAAUUAUAUAUUGCCCUUAUGUGAAACAGGCUAUGGAAUGCAGGUGUGUAUGUAUUCAUAUAUCUUAUGUGUACACCAUAAGUUAAUGUGCAGAUGAAGUUAUUUUUGUAUGUAACUAAAGAAGUGUUUACAAUUACUAAAGUUUUAAGAUCUCAGAAGUAAACUGACGCACCAAAGGAACGACACUCAUUUUUGUCUGUCUCUUUAUUUAUUCACAGUGUUUUCACAGAUACACAGUGCUUCACUGCCUGUGUGUCCUUUGUUGCCAGCCCAGAUAUCCCCUAGGUCUGAGGCCGGUAACAAUUGGGGGCUGCGUCCGGGAUUAGCACAUCUCGCCUGGGACGGUUGUCAUAGUAACGUGGGAAUCCUGCACCCAGUGUUUCAGGGAAGACUACUUCGCCAAGUGUCAUCCAGAGAACAACUGCCACAGUGUUUUCACAGAUACACAGUGCUUCACUGCCUGUGUGUCCUUUGUUGCCAGCCCAGAUAUCCCCUAGGUCUGAGGCCGGUAACAUAU